UACAGAGGUCUCAAGCGUUGUUCGGAUUCAUUGGGCGUAAAGGGUGCGUAGGUGGCGGGGUAAGUCUGGUGUGAAAUCUCGGAGCUCAACUCCGAAACUGCACUGGAUACUGCCUUGCUUGAGUACUGGAGAGGAGAUUGGAAUUUACGGUGUAGCAGUGAAAUGCGUAGAUAUCGUAAGGAAGACCAGUGGCGAAGGCGGGUCUCUGGACAGUUCCUGACGCUGAGGCACGAAGGCCAGGGGAGCAAACGGG
rnacentral:rRNA from 1 species